rnacentral:lncRNA from 1 species
AAGUGCAUUUGUUAGAAGUGCUUAUGAACAGAAGUAUUUCCUAGAGAAGCAGUCCAAAAUGAUCCCUAAGUGAUUUUGGGAAAAAGCACACUCAUGUGCUUCUUCAUAAAAUCACUUAUUAUACUCUUAUAUAUAUGGAGAAAUGAUUUUCUAUAGAAUUUAUUAUUGAGCUAUUCAAAAUCACUCUCAAACGAACCCAAAAUCAACUAUAAAUGUAGAAUUAAUACCAACAACAACAAAAAAAAAGAAAAAAAGAAGAAGGUUUGUACAAGUAUAUGUCAAUAAUUUAGCAUCAAUUUAUGGAUUCUAUUAUUGCGUGGCAUUUGAAAACAAGCAUCUAGUUGCUAUCAAGUUGAAAGCCUAAACCUACCCACCUCUAAACCAUCACAUCAUGAGUACGAGAAAUUAAAAAUAAAAUAAAAUUUGGCCAAGAGAAGCACCACCGACUCAAGUGCCUUAUAUAUAAACUUGAAGGUAUAUGUUGUAUUGUAAUUAUAGACAAAAAUACAAAUUUUUAUAUAUAUAUUUAAAUAUAAGCAAUAAUUUUAUAAAGAAAAUGAGAUUUCUAACACACACUGCAAAAAUAUCAUGAAAGUUCAAAUUUAUAACCACUAAUAUAUAAGUGAACGUAAUUUUCUAUUGAGCUAAACUCCACAUAAAUACAGUAUUUUUUAUUGAGAGAAUAUUGGGGACGGUAUGGGAUUUCAGUGAGAGUGGGUCCCUUGCUUGAGUUAGCCGAAUUAUUAAGGACCUCUUGUAUGGCCAGAAUUCCAAAAUUAAUGAAGGUGUCUCGCAAGUAGAUCAGACCCCGACAAUUGGUAGGUCCUGAAUUAAUUGAUGAGAAAAUUUAACACAUCAAAG